rnacentral:lncRNA from 1 species
UGGAGACAGAACCCUCCUUGGGGUUCCAAGCACUUAUUUGUGGCCCACAAGACACUGGUGAUUGGAGACAGAGCCACGAGGCCCUUUGGAGCCAGCUGGUGGCCAUGGAAAUGUCUCUCCAGCCAGUUCUAGAGCAGCUGUGGGCUGCCCUGUUGGUGAUACACGAAAGUGUGCCACACAUGCCACGAGUCUCUGAGUUUCGCUGGGAGAUCCUGGUGUGCACUGCAGUGGUGAUAGUCCUAGUAAAGAGCGGACGCAGCUUAAGAAGACGAAGGGGGCAGUGUGCCCAGGGUGAAGUCUCUGAGAGAGGCGUGCAGGAGACAGGUGCAGAGACACAAGCCUGUGAAGCUGUCGCAUCUCCUGUGCAGAAGGCCAGUCCUCUCCCACUACAGAUUCUCGCUCUGGAGGUCCUGAACAAAACUCACAGCUAUUUCUCAGUGAAAGACGCUGCCCAACUGCUGAAGGGAAUUGGGGAAAGCCCGCCUAAUAGCCCUUCCCCGCCGACUGAUGAAAAUCCCAUCUCCAGAGCAUCACAGGAAGAUGGAGAACCGCCCGCGAGGAAAAUAACGGAAGGCUCCAAUGCCAGCCCCGAUGUUCAGGGAAGUCAAGGCCCGCGGGCCCAGGAGAUCGGCAGUGGCGGGCAGAGAGAGCAGGAAGAGGCAGAGGAGGAAGGCAGGCCAGAGCUUCCCAGCCCAGGAGUGCAGCCGGCUGCGGGUGCGGACAGAAGCCAACUCCAGAGCCUAGGCCAGAUCAUGCUGAAGAUGCUGCACGUGCUGGAGCUCGUUAGACAUCAGCUGGAUGGUGCGGGCUCCGAAGGACAGGGGAGGAGGGAGGCGGCUACUGGCCCCAUCCACCCGUCAGCCCACUACCAGAAUGGCUCCCCUCUCGGCGUCCACGUCCCUGUGCCCUCGGGCGGGGGCCCAGAGAAAAAAGGAAAGCUGUCCAGGGAACUGAUGAAGCAAAACAAGAUAACUGCAGAGCUCAGAAAACAAGUAGCAACCUACCAAGCUGAGGAAUUAAGUUUGCGACUUCAAAACACCCUCCUGGACAGUGAGAUUAACAAGGUCCGGCAGCAGCUCAAAGUACAGCCUGAGACGUGGGAAGAGCACAUCCUGCAACUGGAGAGAAAGCUGGUGGAGGAGCAAACCCUCCGCCUGGAAGUGGAGAACGAACUGAUCGAGAU